CCCUUUGUGACAUACCUAUAACUGUUGCUUCGGCGGGUAGGGUCUCCGCGACCCUCCCGGCCUCCCGCCUCCGGGCGGGUCGGCGCCCGCCGGAGGAUAACCAAACUCUGAUUUAACGACGUUUCUUCUGAGUGGUACAAGCAAAUAAUCAAAACUUUUAACAACGGAUCUCUUGGUUCUGGCAUCGAUGAAGAACGCAGCGAAAUGCGAUAAGUAAUGUGAAUUGCAGAAUUCAGUGAAUCAUCGAAUCUUUGAACGCACAUUGCGCCCGCCAGCAUUCUGGCGGGCAUGCCUGUUCGAGCGUCAUUUCAACCCUCAAGCUCUGCUUGGUGUUGGGGCCCUACAGCUGAUGUAGGCCCUCAAAGGUAGUGGCGGACCCUCUCGGAGCCUCCUUUGCGUAGUAACUUUACGUCUCGCACUGGGAUCCGGAGGGACUCUUGCCGUAAAACCCCCAAUUUUCCAAAGGUUGACCUCGGAUCAGGUAGGAAUACCCGCUGAACUU
rnacentral:rRNA from 1 species